GAUGAACGCUGGCGGCGUGCCUAAUACAUGCAAGUCGAGCGAACAGAUGAGGAGCUUGCUCCUCUGACGUUAGCGGCGGACGGGUGAGUAACACGUGGAUAACCUACCUAUAAGACUGGGAUAACUUCGGGAAACCGGAGCUAAUACCGGAUAAUAUAUUGAACCGCAUGGUUCAAUAGUGAAAGACGGUUUUGCUGUCACUUAUAGAUGGAUCCGCGCCGCAUUAGCUAGUUGGUAAGGUAACGGCUUACCAAGGCAACGAUGCGUAACCGACCUGAGAGGGUGAUCGGCCACACUGGAACUGAGACACGGUCCAGACGCCUACGGGAGGCAGCAGUAGGGAAUCUUCCGCAAUGGGCGAAAGCCUGACGGAGCAACGCCGCGUGAGUGAUGAAGGUCUUCGGAUCGUAAAACUCUGUUAUUAGGGAAGAACAAAUGUGUAAGUAACUAUGCACGUCUUGACGGUACCUAAUCAGAAAGCCACGGCUAACUACGUG
rnacentral:rRNA from 1 species